UACAGAGGUCUCAAGCGUUGUUCGGAUUCAUUGGGCGUAAAGGGUGUGUAGGUGGCGCGCUAAGUCGGGUGUGAAAUUUCGGAGCUUAACUCCGAAACUGCAUUCGAUACUGGCGUGCUUGAGGACUGGAGAGGAGACUGGAAUUUACGGUGUAGCAGUGAAAUGCGUAGAUAUCGUAAGGAAGACCGGUGGCGAAGGCGGGUCUCUGGGCCGAUACUGACGCUGAGGAGCGAAAGCGUGGGGAGCGAACAGG
rnacentral:rRNA from 1 species